rnacentral:tRNA from 1 species
UCCCUAUUGGCUCAGAUGGUAAAGAAUCUGCCUGCAAUGCAGGAGACCUGGGUUCGAUCCCUGGGUUGGGAA